rnacentral:rRNA from 1 species
UACGGAGGGUGCGAGCGUUGUCCGGAAUCACUGGGCGUAAAGGGCGCGUAGGCGGCUUGGGAAGUCCGUGGUGAAAGCUCGUGGCUCAACUGCGAGUCGGCCAUGGAUACUCCUAAGCUCGAGCACUGUAGAGGCAGGUGGAAUUCCGGGUGUAGCGGUGGAAUGCGUAGAGAUCCGGAAGAACACCGGUGGCGAAGGCGGCCUGCUGGGCAGUAGCUGACGCUGAGGCGCGACAGCGGUGGGGAGCAAACAGG